CAGCCGCCGCGGUAACCCCAGCGCCACAAGUGGGAACCACGCUUAUUGGGUCUAAAGCAUCCGUAGCCGGUUCUGCAAAUGCCCUGUGAAAUCGUUGCGCUCAACGUAACGACGUGCAGGGUAGACUACAGAACUAGGGACCAGAGGAAGUAGACGGUAUUCCUGAGGGAGCGGUAAAAUGUGAUAAUCUCAGGAGGACCACCGAUGGCGAAGGCAGUCUACUAAUAUGGAUCCGACGGUGAGGGAUGAAAGCUAGGGGAGCGAUCCGGAUUAGAUACCCGAGUAGUCCUAGCCGUAAACGCUGCAUGCCAGAUGUUACACAAUCUUCGAGAUUGUGUAGUGUCGAAACGAAGGUGUUAAGCAUGCCACCUGGGAAGUACGGUCGCAAGGCUGAAACUUAAAGGAAUUGGCGGGGGAGCACCA
rnacentral:rRNA from 1 species